GACGAACGCUGGCGGCGUGCUUAACACAUGCAAGUCGAACGAAGAGCGAUGGAAGCUUGCUUCUAUCAAUCUUAGUGGCGAACGGGUGAGUAACGCGUAAUCAACCUGCCCUUCAGAGGGGGACAACAGUUGGAAACGACUGCUAAUACCGCAUACGAUCUAAUCUCGGCAUCGAGGAUAGAUGAAAGGUGGCCUCUACAUGUAAGCUAUCACUGAAGGAGGGGAUUGCAUCUGAUUAGCUAGUUGGAGGGGUAACGGCCCACCAAGGCGAUGAUCAGUAGCCGGUCUGAGAGGAUGAACGGCCACAUUGGGACUGAGACACGGCCCAGACUCCUACGGGAGGCAGCAGUGGGGAAUCUUCCGCAAUGGACGAAAGUCUGACGGAGCAACGCCGCGUGAGUGAUGACGGCCUUCGGGUUGUAAAGCUCUGUUAAUCGGGACGAAAGGCCUUCUUGCGAAUAGUGAGAAGGAUUGACGGUACCGGAAGAGAAAGCCACGGCUAACUACGUG
rnacentral:rRNA from 1 species